AAACCUUUAGAAAAUAUAUGCAUACUACUAAAAAUUUUACUGCAAUAUUGGAUCGAUCCUUAACCUUCUAAAAAGAGCUUCUCAUUCUGAAAAAUUUCGAGCUAUUUGGUACUCUUUGAUCUGAGUCUGGUUAUAUGAUGAUUUGAAGUCAAUUUUUGGUUCCUUUUACUUCAUUUCUUCGAGUUGAAAAUCAUCUUGUCUUCUAUCUCUAAUUACCUGGGGUCUGGGAUUAUUUGGAGUGGUUAACUUACUAUUAUUCUGCUUCCUAUUUGCUGAACCUUCAUCCUCA
rnacentral:lncRNA from 1 species